rnacentral:rRNA from 1 species
GGCGGACGGGUGAGUAACACGUGGGAACAUGCCUUUUGGUACGGGACAACCAUUGGAAACGAUGGCUAAUACCGUAUACGCCCUCCAGAUUGAUUUUUGGAGGGGAAAGAUUUAUCGCCGAAAGAUUGGCCCGCGCUAGAUUAGCUGGUUGGUAAGGUAAUGGCUUACCAAGGCUUCGAUCUAUAGCUGGUUUGAGAGG